rnacentral:rRNA from 1 species
GAUGAACGCUGGCGGCGUGCCUAAUACAUGCAAGUCGAGCGAACGGACGAGAAGCUUGCUUCUCUGAUGUUAGCGGCGGACGGGUGAGUAACACGUGGAUAACCUACCUAUAAGACUGGGAUAACUUCGGGAAACCGGAGCUAAUACCGGAUAAUAUUUUGAACCGCAUGGUUCAAAAGUGAAAGACGGUCUUGCUGUCACUUAUAGAUGGAUCCGCGCUGCAUUAGCUAGUUGGUAGGGUAACGGCUUACCAAGGCAACGAUGCAUAGCCGACCUGAGAGGGUGAUCGGCCACACUGGAACUGAGACACGGUCCAGACUCCUACGGGAGGCAGCAGUAGGGAAUCUUCCGCAAUGGGCGAAAGCCUGACGGAGCAACGCCGCGUGAGUGAUGAAGGUCUUCGGAUCGUAAAACUCUGUUAUUAGGGAAGUACAUAUGUGUAAGUAACUGUGCACAUCUUGACGGUACCUAAUCAGAAAGCCACGGCUAACUACGUG